rnacentral:misc_RNA from 1 species
GAUGAAGAACGUAGCGAAAUGCGAUACUUGGUGUGAAUUGCAGAAUCCCGUGAACCAUCGAGUCUUUGAACGCAAGUUGCGCCCGAAGCCACUAGGCCGAGGGCACGCCUGCCUGGGCGUCACACGCCGUUGCCCCCCCAUCUACUCCUUCGGGAUUGCGGGGGGGCGGAUGAUGGCCUCCUGUGCGCCUAGCCGCGCGGUUGGCAUAAAUACCAAGUCCUCGGCGACGCACGCCACGACAAUCGGUGGUUGCGAAACAUCGGUUGCCCGUCGUGUGCGUUCGUCGCGCAUCGAGGGCUCGAAAAAAUGCUCGGCUCCGGCUGGGCUUUCAACGCGACCCCAGGUCAGGCGGGGUUACCCGCUGAAUUUAAGCAUAUCAAUAAGCGGAGGA